CCUUCGGGUUGUAAAGCUCUUUUGUCCGGAGCGAAACGGUUAGCGUGAAUAUCGCUGACUACUGACGGUACCGGAAGAAUAAGCACCGGCUAACUACGUGC
rnacentral:rRNA from 1 species